rnacentral:rRNA from 1 species
GUCGAACGAGGUCCAUCCGGUAGCAAUACCGGUGAAGACCUAGUGGCGAACGGGUGAGUAACACGUGAGCAACCUGCCCCGAAGACCGGGACAACACCGGGAAACCGGUGCUAAUACUGGAUAUCCCCAUCGGAUCGCAUGGUUUGAUGAGGAAAUGGAUUCCGCUUCGGGAGGGGCUCGCGGCCUAUCAGCUAGUUGGUGAGGUAACGGCUCACCAAGGCUUCGACGGGUAGCUGGUCUGAGAGGACGAUCAGCCACACUGGGACUGAGACACGGCCCAGACUCCUACGGGAGGCAGCAGUGGGGAAUCUUGCACAAUGGGCGAAAGCCUGAUGCAGCAACGCCGCGUGAGGGACGAAGGCUUUCUGAGUUGUAAACCUCUUUCAGCAGGGACGAUUAUGACGGUACCUGCAGAAGAAGCACCGGCCAACUACGUGC